GAUGAAGAACGUAGCGAAAUGCGAUAAGUAAUGUGAAUUGCAGAAUUCAGUGAAUCAUCGAAUCUUUGAACGCACCUUGCGCCCUUUGGCCAUUCCGAAGGGCAUGCCUGUUUGAGUAUCAUGAACACCUCAACUCUUCAUGGUUUUCCAUGAUGAGCUUGGACUUUGGGGGUCUUGCUGGCCUGUGGGUCGGCUCCUCUCAAAUGAAUCAGCUUGCCGGUUUUUGGUGGGCAUCACAGGUGUGAUAACUAUCUACGCUUGUGGUUUUCCACCAGGGUAACCUUCAGCAGUGGAGGUUCACUGGAGCUUACAAAUGUCUCUCCUCUGUGAGGACAGCCCUUUGAAUGUUUGAUCUCAAAUCAGGUAGGACUACCCGCUGAACUUAAGCAUAUCAAUAAGCGAGGA
rnacentral:misc_RNA from 1 species